AGCCAGAGCCCUGGGGAUCCCAGGUGUCACUGCUCCUCAAGGGCUUCCCCCCACCGCUGCCACUGAGGGUCCUGAUUUUUCAGGAUUAGAACAGGGGCUCACUCUGGACUGAGCCCCAUGGGAGUGGCUGGCGGUGUCCCCGGGGCCACCCCUAGUGUGGGUGUGUGACUUGUUGCUGUGUGUGUACAGCCAGCAGAGUUGGCCACCUGGCUGUGUGUGGACAGGCCAGUGAUGGAGAUGGGCAGGUGGACUGUGUCUUUCCUCUGACGGGCCCUGAAUGAGCGGCCGAAUUGCCCUUCUCCCUUAUAGACGGGGAGCCAUUCCCUCCGGGGAAGGAAACUGGGUCAUCUCCAGCGCCCAGUGGACAGGUGGCCCGUGCAGGUGCCCAUGUCUGUGCCCACCUGCUCCUGGGGGCUGAGACCCGGGCCAGGGCCUUGCCGCCCCGCCUGCUUGUCACAGCCGAGCUUCCACCCCAGGGCGGAGCAGGAGGGGGUGGACAGCGCGGUGGCCCACGACCCUGUGAACAUGCUGUGUCGCAUGGAUGCUGUGUCACACGGCCAGGGCAGCUCUGCUGGGGCCAGUCAGGGCCGGGGCUGUGAGCUGGGGACUGGAUUCUGGGCCAGCUAUGUGGGCUCAGUGUGAAGUGGACGGGGCAGGCAGGGCCUUCAGGAAGAUUCAAAGCACGAAGUUGCUGUUUAAAGAUGAGGGGCUGCGGCCGGUGGAAGGGAGGACGCCCUAGCCAUCAGCCAGCGAGGCGGCGGGUCGCCACUCCCACGGCCACGGGCGCUGAAUUCACACCAACCAGAGCCGGAUGGACCUGAGCCCUGGGGUGAGAGCCCAGCCCCGCCGUGCUCGGGUCCACAGAGCCACGGGACCCUCCGUGUGCGCUGGCAAAGCCGUGGGACGUGUGGCCCGCUGUCCCCGUGGCCGCGGGAAGCCAUCGGGGCCUCGGCUGCUCUGAGACGCGGCGAGGCCUCCCCUUUGACAAGCAGCACCUCUUCCAUCAUCAGCAGUUCCAAACCCUACCUGCUUCCUGUGGGCACAGGGGCCCGUCAGCCAUAGCGUUCCUUGGGGUUUGGCCAACGACGUCCUUUUUAUUUGUGAUAAGACUGUAUGAUAUUUGCCUUAUUUAUUUUUAACCAAUUCUCUCUAAAUUCUUUAUUUUAAGAUGCUGUGUAAAUAGCGCACCGGUUACAGGGGCUGCCCUUCCCUUCUGACCAAAGGAAGGUGAGCCCGACACGCCGUGUGAACAGCUCACAUCAGCUGAUGCGUGAGCUUCCAGAUGCAUCGCGCCCUGCCUGGCGGGGCUGCACCCCUCUGGAAUGACCCUGUCCGUGUGUCCCCUUCCGACCCUCGCACGCCUUUUGGACCCAACCUCAGUAGAUUCGCACGCAGCCCUGAAUGUCCCCGUGAUUCCGUGGCCCCUGCCCUGGGCUGGUCGGCUCCGGGGUGUCUAGGACCCCGCUCCCCAGACCCGGGCCCCUGACCCCCACCCCGAGCCUGCCGUGUUUAUCAGACUCCAAAGCCACCGGGGCUUCCGAUACCUUCUAUCAUUAGAAGCAAUAACACUAACUAAACUGUAGAGGCAGGUCUGGUCCAAAGCAGACAAGCCAGGUGUCCAAGUUUCCCCAAAUUGAAGGGCACCGGGGGGGGGGGGCGCUGACACCCUCAUUCCUGGCGGAUGUGCAGGCUGAGGCAGGGUCCAGCCAGCCUCCGAGACGCCGUGCUUUGUCUCCACUUGGUAGGAACACUGCAUUGUCGUCCCAGCAGUGACCUUGAUGUCCUCCCUGUCGCUGCUUUGACCGCCACUUGGGAAGGAAGGGCUGGCUUGGCCGAUCGGCUGUGCGGCUAGGUUUCCUCCCCGGCAGUGGACCCCCGUCUGGGCCCUUCCCCGCAGCAGGCACUGGGACCUCACGUGGCAGGCCCUGCCCGUGUGCCCACGGCCCAGGAAAUGCAAGUUCAUGUGACCUGCCCCGAGCAGUGCUCUUACAGGAGGGUCACAGCUCUGCCGUCACGCUUGCCACUCUGAAGGCUGCAGACCCGUUGGUUGUGUGUAACUCGCCCUCCAGAACCUGACUUGCCCCUGGUUUUAUAACGGCGUCAAUGAAAAAAAUGACAACAAAACAAGGCCCCCAAAUCCAAACGCCAUAGAGGCAGCUGGUUUCAAAACACUUGGCUUGGUGAAAUAAAUGAGAGGUGAGCUGUGGCCCGUGGCAGCUGGAAGACAGGGCAGUGUCCCUGGGCCCUGACCUCCCGCCUCCCCAGCUGCCGUUUGCUUUGCAAGUUGGCAGUCUGUGCUCGCUGUCCCUCGUGUCACCGGAUACCCCUGGUUCUGUUGUGGAUGCUGGAAGACGGGACGUUUCUUCCUGUGGUGUCUUGAAUUUGCAUCUGUCUACACUAGACUUUAGGCUGGGGCUUGGUCUAAAUCAGAUUCAAGGUCUUCUGGGGGCUGCCAGGCCCAGAGCUCAGCAGGCAGGGCCCGGGGGCCCAGGCCUGAGGGUUGGGAGGCCUCCAAAUUGAGUCUGGGGGGCAACAAAGAGAUCGAUAUUACCCACGGAACUCCUGUUAGACGCAGUACCCCUUGUCCCAUGACGUGUGUCCUGAGACAGGGCCAGGCUAGACACCCACUGCCUUGGCUGGGUGCGGGAUGGAGCUGUUAGGUCUUUCUAGGGUGGAUUCGGGACCUUGAGGGUGGUCCCGACUGAGGCCUGGGGGGGUAGCCUCCCCAGGGAUGCUGACAGCCAGUGGUCCCCCACCCUCCGGUCCCGCACAGUGAGACGGGCAUCCCCGAUUCUGUGUGCACUGAUGGCCGGGAGCCAAAGGCAGGCCCCGGGCCCAGGAGACGGAGGGUGGGAGCCGCUGAAUGCAGGAGCACAGGAGAGUGGGCCCGGGGGGUCUUGGGGCAGGGGUGGGUGUCAAAGCAGGUUGGCAGUCAAAGCAGCCAUGGGCCCCAGCGGCUGGAACCCCACGUAGAUCUUCCCUCGGGUCAGAGGCCGUGUGGGCACAGCCCAGGCAGAGGGUACACAGGGGAGCUCCUGGGGAUCUUCACCCCGGGAAGCCACAGGAUGCUUUGGAAAUGAUUCGGGAAGUUUCCUUUGUCUCCCACUCGUGCUUAUGCGGACUAGAGGCAGGUCCUGUGAUGGUGAGGAAAUCUGUCCUCUCCCCCUUCCAUCUCACAAAGUUAGCAAACCCAAUUUCCGGCCCCGUCUGGGGCCUAGACCUCCUAGACCUUCCUAAACAAUCGGACUCCCCGUCACGACUCAGACUCUCGUCUUCCUUAAUAUCCCUGAAAAGAUGUCUGUUCCCGAAGAUAAAAUAUAAUUAUUCUGCCAGAGGGGCCAUGAUUAAUCUGAAUCGGGGGGUAUAUGUGUGUGUGUGUGUGUGUGCACGCACACGUGCGCGUGGUUUAAGCAAAAUUAAAAUCAAUUAUUUGUUCCUGGGAUUAGGGUCGAUUCAUAUUGGGAAUAAAUUAACUGGGCAGAGAUGACUGCCCCCCAGGGCAUUGGGUGAGACCCUCCCUGAUGCCCCGACUCUAUUUCCCCCAGAAAUCUUGACCUUGGAGGGAGGAGGUGGGGGUAGGGGCAGGGCAGCAGCUACCCAGCAGCGGCGGGACACAGAGGUGGCCUGGCCCCCACUGGGUCCAUGUGGUGUUUGGGCCUCUGGCUCCAGCGGCUACUGGAGAGUAAGAAAGUCUCUUUUCCGUCGUCUUUUCUUUCUCUUCCUCCCUUCCCCCCUCCCUCCCUCCCUCUCCCCGUUCCUUCCUUCCUCGAAUCUCUGCAGUCUCAGUACUGAAGUCCCGGGUGGCUAUAGGCACCGAACUGGCCCCAUUUUGAGUAGUUCGCGUGGUGGUUUUGUGGUUGGGUUUGGGUUUGGGUACACGGAGGCCUGUGGGGAGAGCUGCAGGUGGGUGUGGGUGCAGGGAUUCUGAAGGGAGGAGCCCACGGGCCCUCCAUCUCCCUCCCAGUUCCCUGGGGAGCCACUUGGUGGUCGGGGUUCAGUCUGCGCUGUGCGGUGUGAAGACAAAACAACAGACAGUGUCUUCCGGGGGGUGGUUCACAGCUGGCUGGAAAAAACACCUUGGGAGUCAGAAAACCGACCUGGGGCCGCCCCUGGCCUCUCGCUGUUAUGGCUCUGUUUCUUCAGCCCCCCGGUGACAGUCCGUGUAGACACAGUUCUUCCUUCCUUUGUGAAAUCCCUGGGUUCAGUAGUAGCUGAGAUGCGCAGGGGAGGCCCGUGGGGGCUUUGGUGAGCAGAUGACUCUGAUGGGCUUUGCCUGUGACCGCAAGGAGCGCCUUCCCGGCCUCGAGCCCGCUCUCCUCCAGACAGUCUGCAGAGGGAGGCCUGCUUACACGCCCCACGUUGUCCGUGAGGAAUCAGAGGCUCAGAGAGGUGACAGACUUGGACAAAGUUGCACAGCACUGAGCGCAGGACCAGGAGGCAUCCGGGUCCCAUCCAUCCCAAGCCCCUGGGUGUCCGUUCUCUUGGGCGCCUCGUAGCUAACCAUGAACUCAGUGAAGUGUUGGUUUUGAUGGAGCCCUUAGCCCGUGCACGCACAAGUGGCGGGGGUGCCUGGCAGGUUGGUUCUGAGCAGCCAGGUGGGUCCUCAGGCCGGGGGUUUGCCCCACAGCCCAUCCAGGGAUGUGCCCAGGCACAAGGUCAUCCUCACCCAGGCCUCACGUGGCGAGAUGAGAACAGGGCAUGUGCUCGCGGCUGAGCCCUGCCUCUGCUUGAACAGCUGAUCCCCAGCAGAGACACAGUGGGGGCCCAAAGGAGCCCGCCUCGCCCUGUCUUGUUACACUUUCUGUCCUGAAGCCAUGUCCGCAGUACCACCUGCCAUCGUGUCUUAGUAAACAGCCUCUCCCUCGGCCAGGAGCACAGUCGUCCUGUCUUUUCCUGUAAGGCCUCUCUGACAUCAGCCAGGGGGAGAGCCAGGCCCCCUGGAACCCCCAAGCUGCACACGCCUCUCCCCUCACAAGGAGCCAAGCCAGCCCCCAACUCCUGGCCAGAGCCGGCCAAUGUCCUCAUCACGUGGUGUAGUGUCCCUUCCUGGGGACAGGAGGACACCCAGGGGCAGAUCUCACUGAGAAUGUGCAGAGGGUGUGGUGGGGAUCACGAUGAUGGGGAGAUGCCGACAGCCCCCGAGCCCAGGUGUCCCCUGCCCCUCCAGGAGCUGUGGUUCCGAGCAGCUCAUUUUCAGAAGGGUGGCGGUUCCGAAACCGAUGGCAGUCACUUACGGAGAAUCGACGUUUAAGCAGAGAGGAAUCCCUAGACUCACCCUGGGAGGUCUGGCCAUCUCUUGGGCGUCAGAAGCGCGUGCCAGGCAGCGGGCAGGACCAGCAGUCGGAGGGCCGAGUCUGUGGGCCCUCGCUCCCCGCCGCACACACACGCGGUGGGGAGCGAGCCCGCUGGCCGCCAGAACCUGUUUCUUGCCUCCCACCAGCAACCCCCACGCCACCCUGGGCCCAGGCACAAAGCAUACGUCUCAGGGGACCACUCCCACGUUCCGGGAGUCCCGAGGAAGCCUCCACGGCCUCUUGCACCUGCCCGUAGGGCGCUCCCCGGGCAUCAGCCCCAGAGAGGCUUGCAGUCCUGCCUUCCUCCCCGUUGGAAACUGCGGCCCCGCAAGCCACACGCACUCAGCAUCGCAUGCUGUGAGAUUCCCAAGUGUGUGAAACUUCGUUUGGAUUCCAACACAUGCAGCAUGUGCAAAGGGACAGGCCCAGGCCACCACGGGUCGUCUGCCGGCUGGCCGCAGAGCGUCCCGCCACGGCGGAUCCUGGACCCUGAGCCUUGCAUCUCCUGCACACCUGCAGAGCCCCGCCCCCUUCCUCCAUCUCUCCUUCACACUGAUUGCACACCGCCUUGCACAAGCAGAGAUAAUGUAACAAUUACAACCAUCUCUCAUUUAAGGUAAACCCAAAGCCCCCGCUUGGACUUUCUUGAUUGUCUGAGAAGGGUUUGUGUGAACCCCUGUGUCCCUCCGUGUCCCGCCUGGGAGCACAGAGUGGGCCUGGGUGACACGUUCUCCCAUCAGUAGACCUUGCUGAGAGUGCUUCUUUAGACGCGGAAACCAGAUGUCUGUUCCAGGACACCAACUCAAUAUCACUGGGGAACCUCUCGUGAUAGAUUUGUAUAAUCAAUACGGGUCUAUUUUUACGUCAACUGAACACUGUAGAGCACCUUCCAGUCUUUUCCAAGAUUGUUAAAUUGAGACAAGUAAUUGAAUAAUUUGUCCUAUUUUUAUUUAAAAAGCAAAAACCAGUGAAUGGACUGAAAUGUUAAAUGUGAAUGUACAUUUCUUAAUUGCAACUUUUCUACUGAGUGUUUGCACUAUACUUUCUGGAAUCUUAUUUAACAAAAAUAAAGAAGAAAAAAUUGCUUG
rnacentral:lncRNA from 1 species